rnacentral:rRNA from 1 species
CCAAUAGCGUAUAUUAAAGUUGUUGCAGUUAAAAAGCUCGUAGUUGAAUUUCGGGAUCAAUAUAUCGGUCGUGCCAUCGGUACGUACUGGUAUCAUUGGUUUCUCCUUUCUGACGAACCAUGAUGUCAUUAAUUUGGUGUCAUGGGAAGUUAGGACUGUUACUUUGAAAAAAUUAGAGUGUUUAAGCAGGCUUUAGCUUGAAUACAUUAGCAUGGAAUAAUGAAAUAGGACGUUCGAACCUAUUUUGUUGGUUUCUAGGAUCAACGUAAUGAUUAAUAGGGAUAGUUGGGGGCAUUAGUAUUCAAUUGUCAGAGGUGAAAUUAUUGGAGUUAUUGAAGACUAACUACUGCGAAAGCAUUGGACAAGGAUGUUUUCAUUAAUCAAGAACGAAAGUUAGGGGAUCGAAGAAGAUAAGAUACCGUCGUAGUUUUAACCAUAAACUAUGCCGACUAGGGAUCAGAGGAUGUUAAUUUUUUAAUGACUCAUUCGGCGCCUUACG